rnacentral:rRNA from 1 species
GUCUAUGGCCAUGCCACGCUCGGAACCUAAGCAGGGUUGGGCCUGGUUAGUACUUGGAUGGGAGACCACCUAGGAAGACCAGGUGCUGUAGGCA